UUUUAAGUUAAAUUAAACUAAUAAUCUUCAAAAUUAUAUAUAAAGAAAUUUCUUUAAGCCUUA
rnacentral:tRNA from 1 species